rnacentral:misc_RNA from 1 species
UGCACGCCGACCUUCCGUCAAAAAAUGUCAACGACGAGACCGCUUACAGCUGAGCCACAGGCGUCUAUAGUCUUCGUGAAAGCGGAUGUGCCCUUUGUUUGCUUGAUUUAUUUUAUCUUAAUUUUUUUUCAAUUCGACUUCCGCGUACGCUUAUGCGUAUAGGCAAUUAGAGUUCCAGAUGCGCGCCACGCUGCUUUGAUGUUGAGGGAGGCCUUCGGGAUGACAUAUCGUCACGUUGAUUAUUAGACGCCUGGCUUCGGCGAAGGUUGAAAUGUUAUAAUCACAGCACAUUGACGACGACUGCUUUGGCGGCGGGGCAGCCAUGGAAAAGAAGCAAGCGAAGAUUACAAACUUGAUGGUCAACAGAGACGGUGUGGCAGCUAGAACGGAUGGGCCUUCAAGAUGGACGUGGGGACCGGAAAAAGUGUACCACUGGACGGUAACUUUCGUAGCCUUCUCGUACAUCAUGUGGCGGUUCGCGACCAACGAAGAGAAGGCGUUCCUCUUGGACCAAAUGAAACGCGCCUUCAUCAAGAGCCCGUAUGGCCUUAAAGAGAAGCAGGACACGUCGAACUGGGGAUGGCAGACCACUAGGUACGUCAUGAUCAACACAUGGAAGUGGUACCUUUUGCAUCCCGUACUGGGCAGGGCGAUGGCCCACGUAGCACCAUCACUCGUUCCCGUCUUCUACGCUGCCUACUCGUGCUUAUUCGUGGCCUUUCACCUGGGCUGGGAGGUGGUCCUAUUGUACCUCGGGCAGCAUGCCGUCUUCUAUGCCGCGGCCGCACUGCGCAUCCCUGCCCUGUGCUACGCGGUCGCCGCUGUGGUCCACUUACAAAAGUUCGUGAACCCUUUCGAGGCAGUGAUUUACAUGUAUGAACGAUAUGGCCUCAUGGCGUACAGGGUGGCCUACGUGGCCUUCCACUGGAACAUCAUGCGUGGCCUUAGCUUCAGCCUAGACUUUGUUCGAGCUCAGCGCCGGAGUCCAGAGAAUAGCCAGCGCCGGUGGCCGCCAUAUUGGAAGACGCUCGCCUACCUGGUCUACCUUCCCACGGUCUAUCAUGGACCUCCGCAGAAUUACGACGACUUCGCAAUCCAGUUGGACAAACCGAGACCCGAGCUGUACUCUACGCGAGGUCGCCACAGCCGUGGCGAGGCUCCUGCGGAGUGGCGCCCACUUCCUCCUGAUGGAACUCAUGGCCCAUUUCUUCUACAGCUCGGCGAUGUCCAAGUGGCCCUGGGUGGCCGAACGACUGGAUUUGUACAGCCUGGUGGGCUUCGCCUUUUCCCUGCUGUUCUUCUUCUACGUGCGCUACCUGUUCACCUACGGCUUCGCCGGCGCCCUGGCCCGUGCCGAAGGAAUCGAGAUUCCGCCUCCCUCCAUGUGUAUUGCCACAAUGUACCGCUGCUCCCACUUCUGGAGGUACUUCGACCGCGGCAUGCACCUGUGGAUUCGAAGGUACUUCUACGAGCCAGUGGUGGGCCCGAGCAAGAGUGCCUGUCGACUGCUGCUGGGUACCGCGGUCGCGUUCUGUUUCACCUGGGUGUGGCACAGUAUGCACAAAAGAGACGCCAUCUGGUGCACGCUCAGCGUGCUCGGCAUCGCCCUGGAGGUUAUCAUCCACGAAGCGCGAAAGCGAGAUCCUCUCAGGAACUUCGAGAAACACUACCUGGCGUCGGCUAAGCGGAUGCGGGCAGCCAAGGCCUUGCUUGGCUCUCCACACUUCGUGCUCACCAUGUGCGCCUGCAUCUUCCACCUGGCUGAAGCGAGAGUAGGCCUUAUCAUGUGCAGAAGGAUCUUGAUUGGUUUUCCCUUUCCGCUGGUCUUCGUCUUCUUGGGCAUGUACAGCGGCCUCAACGUUGCUCUAGACGUGGAGGAAUGGAAAGCAGCAGCAGCACUCAAGCAGAAGCAAGCUUCUUCGUAAACUACUUAAUCUCAGCAAUUUGUAGAUUCGUUUUAAUACCAGCGCACUCCAACAUAUAUUUGUUUUGCAUUGCCUCAUCAGUGGCAUCGGUGUUCAUUCAGCCACCCGUAUAUCUCGUACAACAAAUAAAAGCUGCCCUUGAAAAAAAAA